UCCUCUAUUUUAUUGUGGUAAUUAUGCUUACAUUAGGUGGUGUUGAAGCGAUGCAAAUGGUAGUUAGUGUUUUAAGAAAUUAGCCAGUUAGUUUUGUCGAUGUGCUCGGAUGAAUAUAUGUGUGUGCAUAAUGUGUUUAAAUUGAUUCUUUGUUUGCAUAAUGUCAAAGUAGGUUCGAAAUACUAGAUUAUGUGAAGUAAAUGGAUUCAUGGCUAUAAAAUAGCAGAAAUCUAUAUAUGCGAUUAGAAAGUGUCAAACAUAUGAUAAGUGUAGAAAGUAUAUAUGAGUAAAUUGAAUGUUGGCUGUUUGGACUGUGUCCAGUUUUAGUAUCCAGGUAGUUGAGUGAAGUAAACAUUGUUUUCUGUAGAAAUGUUAUAUAUAAAAGUUGUAGCUCACUUCUUUAUCUUGGUUGUGUAAAAAUUGCAUGACCAUAGGUUUAGUAGUUUAGGAGUUAUGAUUUUUCAAAGUCCAGUCUCAGAAUCUGCCCAGAUUCUGUACUGAUUUCGAAAAUAACCUUGUUUGCCCAAGUUAAACUUAGAAUCAGCUCUUAGUAAUUAUAGGAGAAUUGUAGUACUUUUCUUAAGCUUUGCAACAAAUUUUGGAGCACCAAUUUUGGUGGUCUAUAAGUCAGGUUAUGGCUGUUUGAAAUGUGAUGUUUGAAGCUGUCAAAAUCUGGACAGCAAUGCUUGUUUGUAUUAACUGACUUCGAUACACAUUGAAUCACCUUGAGAUGAUUAUAAAUGAACUGUAGACAAUUCUAUUAGCUUUCUAAAAAGUCUAGGAUCACCUGAUUUGGAUUUCUAAAACUCCAGUUAUGAAUUAAUGAAGUAAGUAGUCGAAUUCUAUCCAAAUCUGGACAGAAAUUGCGUUUAGUAUUGUUUGACAUUUCUAAAUGUCGAAUCUCAUGGUGAUGAUAAUACCAAAAUUUUAGAGGACUUUAUAAGCUUUCCAAAAAGUCUUAGUUUACUAUUUUUGGAUGAAUAUUGUGUAAGUUAUGAAUAAAACAACUAGCUCUACAACUUUCAUUUAAUCAAGCGUGUUUCUGCUUUAUCUUGCUAUGCUCUGACCGAAGCUUUAAUUCUUGUGCGACUGGUAUUUCUGUGUUCUGCAGAUCAUUUAGCUCAAGUAAUUGGUAGUUCAACUGUCAUAAUGUUUGGUUUGGGAUUUCUAUCUGUGGAUGGUUCGUCUGGCUUAUCUAUGCUUUUAGGUGCUUCAUCUGGCUUAUCUAUGUUUUUGCGCUCUCGCUUUUGCAUGUGUUGCAGGAUGUUGACAAUUGGAAAUCCAUGUAGCAAAUAAAUGAUUUUGGAACUGGGGGCAGGUCAGAGUCUAGAGCAUGUUCAUUCCACACAUUGGAGGUGGAUUUUCCUCAAUUGGAGAUAUUGACAAAUUGGAAAAAAAUGUGACUUGACCUGUGCUGCAACAACCUUAAGGGCUUCUUUGGAUUACAGGAAUUUUGAAGGAAUAAUGCUGGAAUAGGAAAGUUUCCUAUCCUAUAGUUUGGCUGGCAUGAUGCACCAAUUAUAUUCCAUAGGAUUUUAUCUCUUUAUGUGUUGAUUCCAUAGGAUUUCUAACAUCCACUCAGAGCUCUUGGAAAAAUUCCUACACGCGAAGCACGAGAAGUGGAAUGCUAAUGCUAGCAACUAAUGGCCCAUUAUGGCUUGUCCUACCCAAAUUUAAAUAGAGAAAAACACAUAUAAAGCACCCAUUUGAUAUUGUUUUUAUCCAAGCUUGACAUUCAUGCAAAAUGAACCCUUCGUUUUUUCCUUGCCCCAACCAAACAACCUUCCACUCAAUAUUACUACGUUUUACAAUCCUCUGAUUUGCACAUACAAUCCUACGUUUUUCCUAUUCCUAUGUUUUUCAAUUCCUACAUUUCAAAGGAGCCCUAAACUAGGAGGGGCUUCUAAUUCUUCAUCUCUACCAACAGUCCUCUCCUGUUACUUUUUAAACCAAUAACUUUUUCAAGUUUGUGCAGAUGCACACAUCCUUGAGCCAAAAUAGAAAAAAAAUCAUAGAAGAGUUCUUUGGUAAAUAUAAAUUGUGCACUCAUAAUUUUGCAAGUGCAUCUAUGGAUACCUUCACUUAUUCCUAACGCUAUUAACUUUGAUGUCUUUCAGGUUGUCACGUGAUUCAAGAGUAUUAAUGAUAUACAAAAGUUUGCUUUAUGGCAAGUCAGGUAACCACAAAUUUUGGGCAAUGACAGGGAUGUGCAGUGGUGGUCUCUUAAAAGAAUUUUGUGUUCCAGCGUAGCUAUUUCCACUGCAAACUAUCAAAUCAUUACAAACUGCUGGGAACAUGCUCCAUCUUAUUAUCGAAGCCUGUAUCUCGAGAAAGUUGAUCGAUACAUCUGCUUAUUUAUGGCCUGGUUAUGUUGUACCAUCUGGGACUUUAAAAGAUACAGCUUUGCCCCAAGAAUCCCCUUGGUUAAACUUUAUGAAAGGGUCUCGACAUUCAGGACCCCUUAUUGAUGCUCUGGUCGCAUCUCCUGCUUCAAGUUCAAGCUCUGCAAGAUGAGGUCUGUUCAGUUUGGCCAAAAAGGCAUCCCCUACCUGAACACCUACGACGGCUGCACCAUCCUCUACCCCGACCCGCUCAUCAAGGCCAACGACACCAUCAAGAUCGAUCUAGAGACCAACAAGAUCAUGGACUUCUUCAAGUUUGACGUCAGCAACGUGGUCAUGGUGACCGGCGGGAGGAACACCGGGCGUGUAGGAGUGAUCAAGAACUGGGAGAAGCACAAGGGCAGCUUCGAGGUCAUCGACGUGCUGCUUGGAGCUUUUUGCAUGCUAUGUCUAGUUUUCUCCUAUUUGUUGUACAAGAAAACAUAGAAUGGAAUUCAAAUUUGGUGGUCGCAAAAGUGUGGAGACUUGAAUUCAUAUAAAGUUAGGCUUAACAUUAGUGCAAAAAGUUGUAUUUUAGUUUAGAUUUAGAGUACACUUAUGUAUGCCUUGUUUGACAAUACUUAUUUAUGAUAUAUUGAAUGGUACCUAUUGUAAUCGUCUAUUAUUGUAGGAUAUUCGAGACAGUUUGAUAAAUACUUUA